rnacentral:RNase_P_RNA from 1 species
GAAGCGAUCCAGACAGCCGCUGCCGCUGCGCGGGCAGAGGAAAGUCCGGGCUCCACAGGGCAGGGUGCCGGGUAACGCCCGGCGGGGGCGACCCCGGGAUAGCGCCACAGAAAAGAGACCGCCAGGGGUCCCUGGCAAGGGUGAAAAGGUGAGGUAAGAGCUCACCAGGCAUCGGGCGACCGGUGCGCUUGGCAAGCCCCACCCGGAGCAAGGCCGAAUAGGGGGAGAUGAGGUGGCCCGCUGAUCCCCGGGUCUGGCCGCAGGAGGCGCGAGGCGACUCGCGCCCCAGAUGGAUGGCUGUCCUCGACAGAACCCGGCUUACGGAUGGCUUCCGCC